rnacentral:tRNA from 1 species
GUUGUUUUGGCAGAUAAGUGCAUUGGAUUUAGGUUCCUUUUAUGUAAAUAAGUUUUUACAGAUAAUA